AAGCAAGUCCUCUAAGGAACAAGUGAGUAAGAGCAAUGCUUCUUUCUCAAGUAUGCAACAGUCUCUGACAGCCACUUCUUCAAAACAAGCUCAAAACCAAGCAAACAAGCAAGUCAUUAAGAAAGCUGAAUCAAAAGAACAAGUGGACAUGGAUGCAGCUGUGUUGCAGAUGGCAUCGUUAUAACAUCUUAUGCAA